rnacentral:rRNA from 1 species
AUGCCACCGACGGUGCGCACGAGGAACACCUUCGCCGUCCAACUCCCCGCCGGCGUGCCGCUCCGAGAGCCAGGCGAGAGCAUCCCGCUCUCCCCAUUCGACGCGUACUGGGUCGCGCUACCCCCGGUCCGCCGCGUUUUCCUCUUCGGCCCUCCACCGGGUCCGGGCAUCCCGUUCGCCGAAGUCGUCCGCGCCCUCGCUUGUUCGCUCGAGAGGGUGAUCCCGGCCUUCCACCCCUUCGCCGGUGUGCUUACCUACUCGCCGGAGUCGCGCGCCGUGUCCAUCGUCCUCCAGGAGGGCGCCUGCAGUGUCGCGUUCGUCGAGGCAGAGGCGGACAUCAAGUUCGAGAGGCUCGUCGAGGAGGGGACUGAGCAUGACGAGGACGCGCUUUUGCAGCUCGUGCCGGACAUCAAACGGGACGAGCUUCCGGCGCCCGUGAUGGCGGUGCAGGUGACGGAGUUCGUCGGAGGCGGCGUGGCUGUGGGCGUGACGGUGCACCACGCGGUGGCCGACGGUCGCGGCUUGUGGGCGUUCUUGGAGAUGUGGGCAGCCGCUGCCGGGGUUCAGGGGGGCGGCCGGGUCGCUACCAGUCCAAUUCCUACGCCGCUGCACGACCGGAGGCUUGUGAGCUUCCGCGGCGACGAGCAGCUGACCAGGCUAUUCUUGCUGCAGGUCGCGCCGGACUUGCCUAUUAUUCGGCAGCAAAAUCCCGCGGCCGAACAGGGAAGCCCUCUGAGCCGGCGAACCUUCACGUUCGCCGCACCUACCGUGAGGCUCCCCAAGCAGCGUCUCACCGUGGCCGGCACUGGCGGCGGCAAGGCCCCGUCGACCUUCGCUUCGCUGGCGGCGCACGGAUGGGUGUCCAUCGCGCGGGCCAAGGGCUUCACCGACGACGCCCUGGUCUUCGCCUUCUUCCUGGCCAACUGUCGGGCCCAUAUGUCGCCGCCGGUGCCUGGUGCAUACUCCGGCAACUGCGUCGCCGGCUGCCUGGUCUCGCUACGCGGGUCGGAGCUCACAGGGCCCAGUGGGCACGCCCGGGCGGUCCAGGCCAUCGCGGAGGCGGUGACGGAGGUGAAGCGCGACCCGUUGGGUGACAGCACCAACUGGCGGAGCAAGUUCGCAGCCAUACCGGCCGGCCGCGCGGUCAUUCUCGCCGGGUCCCCGUGGUUCCCCGCAUAUGGCGUAGACUUUGGGUUCGGCAAGCCAGCGAGGGUGGAGCUGGCGUCCAUGAACCACGACGGCGAGAUGGUGCUCGUCGCCGGGAGGGAAGCUGGGUCGGUGCAAGCGUCCGUGGCGAUCACCCAAGACAAAAUGACCGCCUUCCGCGAUAUGUUCGUGCUCGACUGUACCCAUGCUAUGGCAGUAACUGAAUCCCAUUAG